rnacentral:rRNA from 1 species
CCCUUAGAUGUUCUGGGCCGCACGCGCGCUACACUGUUCGACGCAGCGAGUCUUAACCUUGACCGAAAGGUUUGGGUAAUCUUCAGCAAAGUCGAACGUGAUGGGGAUCGAUCAUUGCAAUUAUUGAUCGUGAACGAGGAAUUCCUAGUAAGUGCAAGUCAUCAGCUUGCGCUGAUUACGUCCCUGCCCUUUGUACACACCGCCCGUCGCUACUACCGAUUGAAUGGUUUAGUGAGAUCUCUGGAUUGACGCUGGCUAGGGGGCGACCCUUGGCCAGACUGUUGAGAAACUGCUCAAACUUGAUCAUUUAUAGGAAGUAAAAGUCGUAACA